rnacentral:tRNA from 2 species
GGAGGGGUGGCAGAGCGGUUCAAUGCACCGGUCUUGAAAACCGGCGUCCGAAAGGACUCGUGGGUUCGAAUCCCACCCCCUCCG